GCUGCUCGCUGGCAUCCCUAGCCUGGAAGCCGCACGCUGGCAGCCGGGAGGGGCAAGGAGGCCUGUGAAUAGGAUUGAGGGUUCUAGGGGCAGCAUGGCCCUUCCUGCCGCUUGUCUCAAGUGAUCACAGCCAGGAUGCUCUUCCUACAGGGUAGGUGGCCCCUCCUGCUGCCACCUGUGCUCCUGCAGCUCCGCUCCUGUCCUUAGCAUGCUGGCUCAGGCAGGGCCCAUGCCCCCAGCGCCACCCGCGGACGUGACCUACAGACCAAGCCCCCCAGAGCUCCUAGCCAGCUGCCAGUGCGGCCCCCCUCUGGCUAAAGUGUAGGCUCUCUCCCUGGGCUUCUGCCUGCCCUGUCCUGUCCCCUCCCCUAGUGCCUGUGCUGUGGCCUCCUCCCCCUCCAGGUGGAUUCACGGAAGCAACCAAAAAGAAGAUCCUGGACACGCUGGGCUUCAGGAACAUCCACCUCGAGGAAAGCACGUGUGAAGGAAAUGGAGCGUUUCCAGGCUCUGAAAUCUACCGCAUGGUGGAGCAAAUCAACGGCCAGUUGAAAGAGAGCGUGGGGAAAGUCCUGGACGAGGAGAGCGCCAUCAAGGGGUGGUUCAGCCAGUACCACCGGAAGCACCGGUUCGGGAACCCGCGCAACCUGGAGACCUUGGGCAGCAAGGUGUUGAAGUACGUGAGGCUCCCGUGGCCCG